UACCAGCUCUCCGAGUGGUAGGGAUGAUUAUUGGGCUUAAAGCGUCCGUAGCCGGCUUAGCAAGUCUCCUGUUAAAUUCAGCGACCUAAUCGUUGAGCCGCGGGAGAUACUACUAGGCUAGGAGGCGGGAGAGGUCAACGGUACUUCCGGGGUAGGGGUGAAAUUCUAUAAUCCCGGGAGGACCACCAGUGGCGAAAGCUGUUGACUAGAACGCGCUCGACGGUGAGGGACGAAAGCUGGGGGAGCGAACCGGAUUAGAUACCCGGGCAGUCCCAGCUGUAAACGAUGCGAGCUAGGUGUUGGGGUGGCUACGUGCCACUUCAGUGCCGCAGGGAAGCCAUUAAGCUCGCCGCCUGGGGAGUACGGCCGCAAGGCUGAAACUUAAAGGAAUUGGCGGGGGAGCACCACAAGGCGUGAAGCUUGCGGUUC
rnacentral:rRNA from 1 species